rnacentral:rRNA from 1 species
AAGCCAAAUUAAGGUGAAACCGCGAAAGGCUCAUUAAAUCAGUUAUGGUUCCUUAGAUCGUACCCACAUUUACUUGGAUAACUGUGGUAAUUCUAGAGCUAAUACAUGCAAACAGAGUCCCGACUGGAGACGGAAGGGAUGCUUUUAUUAGAUCAAAACCGAUCGGCGGUGGAGGUUUCACGACUUUCGUCCGCCGUUUUAAUUGGUGAUUCUGAAUAACUUUUUGCUGAUCGCACGGUCUAGCACCGGCGACGCAUCUUUCAAAUGUCUGCCUUAUCAACUGUCGAUGGUAGGUUCUGCGCCUACCAUGGUCGUAACGGGUAACGGGGAAUCAGGGUUCGAUUCCGGAGAGGGAGCCUGAGAAACGGCUACCACAUCCAAGGAAGGCAGCAGGCGCGCAAAUUACCCACUCCCGGCACGGGGAGGUAGUGACGAAAAAUAACGAUACGGGACUCAUCCGAGGCCCCGUGAUCGGAAUGAGAACACUUUAAAUCCUUUAACGAGGAUCAAUUGGAGGGCAAGUCUGGUGCCAGCAGCCGCGGUAAUUCCAGCUCCAAUAGCGUAUAUUAAAGUUGUUGCGGUUAAAAAGCUCGUAGUUGGAUCUGUGUCUCGCGCUGUCGGUUCACCGCUCGCGGUGCAAACUGGCACGCCGCGGGACGUCCUGCCGGUGGGCGGUAACCCGGCGGGGUUGUUGAACGGUUACUUGACGUGUCUAUUGUGUAAACAGUAGCCGUCGGUCCGUUUGGCUCCCCGUUUGUGGGCCGUCCGACUUUUUUAAAAUCCUGUCGCGGUGCUCUUAACUGAGUGUCGAGAUGGGCCGGCACGUUUACUUUGAACAAAUUAGAGUGCUCAAAGCAGGCUAAAAUUUCGCCUGAAUACUUAGUGCAUGGAAUAAUGGAAUAGGACCUCGGUUCUAUUUUGUUGGUUUUCGGAAAUCCGAGGUAAUGAUUAAUAGGGACAGACGGGGGCAUUCGUAUUGCGACGUUAGAGGUGAAAUUCUUGGAUCGUCGCAAGACGGACAGAAGCGAAAGCAUUUGCCAAGAAUGUUUUCAUUAAUCAAGAACGAAAGUUAGAGGUUCGAAGGCGAUCAGAUACCGCCCUAGUUCUAACCAUAAACGAUGCCAGCUAGCGAUCCGCCGACGUUCCUCCGAUGGCUCGGCGGGCAGCUUCCGGGAAACCAAAGCUUUUGGGUUCCGGGGGAAGUAUGGUUGCAAAGCUGAAACUUAAAGGAAUUGACGGAAGGGCACCACCAGGAGUGGAGCCUGCGGCUUAAUUUGACUCAACACGGGAAACCUCACCAGGCCCGGACACCGGAAGGAUUGACAGAUUGAGAGCUCUUUCUUGAUUCGGUGGGUGGUGGUGCAUGGCCGUUCUUAGUUGGUGGAGCGAUUUGUCUGGUUAAUUCCGAUAACGAACGAGACUCUAA